rnacentral:lncRNA from 1 species
CCUCUCUUUCACCUCUUUUUCUUCUCCCUUCUCUUUUAUGCACCUUACUGUCGUCACGAUCUCACCGUCUCGUUCCAAACAAAUUUUUUCCCCUGCUAGCUUAGAAAGUGAAAGAAACUGGAGGUAGGAAGACGAGGCUUUUGUGUCUCAUCUAUGGUGGCGUCCCCCCGAAGUAGAAUCUAAGGCGCGGCGGAAGGAAGGGGAAGUGAAAGGCGGAGGACUUUUGAGUUUUAUUGGCCGAGAGGCUAGGGCACGGUGUGAUUUGGUUCGAUCUCGAUGUGGAAGCUCGGGGAAUCAACUUAUUGCGUAGUGGUUUUGUGGUUGUGGGAUUUUGGAAACCUUAGAUUUGGGUCAGGGUUGUGUGGUUGGCUGAUUAAGCUGGGGGCGGGGCUGCCCUUGCGAUUGACUGGGUUUUCAUGCUGUCAAAACCACUGCCUUGGGAUCGGAAGGACUUCUUCAAGGAGAGGAGAGGAAGCACGAGAGGUCGGAGUCUUUAAGUUUGCUGCAAGAUAGAGGACUCGCAUCAGGGUUCUUGGGAGUUUGCUCGCAGGAAUCGGCAGACUUGCGCCGUCCUACAGGUGAGUUGAAUCCCACCGGGUUCUUGAUGACGUCGGUUUUGCUUUAAACCAAGAAAAAUAGUCGGGUUCUUGGAAAAUUUGGUCUCCGAACCCUUUUGUUUUUUAUGAUUUGUUCCUUUUUGGUUUUUAAUUUUGAAUUUAUUCUCUCACGGAAGAAGCACGAGAGGUCUGAGUCUUUAGGUUAGCUGCAAGAUAGAGGGACUCGCAUCAGGUUCUUGGGAGUUUGCUCGCCGGGAUCGGUAGACUUUCGCCCCCCUACAGGUGAGUUAUGAAUCCGGGUUCUUGAUGAUUGUGAUGAAAUUCGUAGGUUUUGGUUUAAACCAAGAAUAAUAAUAGGGUUCUUAGAAAAUUGGAUCCGAGUCCUUUUGUUUUUAUUUUUUAUGAUUUGUUCUUUUUUGGUUUUUAAUUUUUAAUUUUUAAUUUAUUCUCUCCACGGGUCUGAUUCUUUGUUUUGGGGAAUUAGUUUUUGAUGAUGAUUCUUUCAUGGUUAUUGUAGAUCUGUUUUUUUUUAGUCCAUUCGUUUGUUAAUGUGCUGUUUAGUUGUGCAGAAAUUGUAAUUAAAAAAACAGAUAGUUUUUUAAUCUUUUUAAGUCAAAUAAAACUACCUGUAAGAAAGUUCUAGGUUUUGAAUUUUUGAAGUUUCAUCGUGUUCUUUGGUAUUUUGAUUUACCAUGAACUUUUUUUACCUAUCAAAAAAAAAAAAAAAAAGGCUGGGCUAGAAAUUCAUAGACAUCAACUUGCUCAAAUCCAUGAUAGAAAACCCUAUCAAAGCUAAGGUAAAAAUCCUCUCCCUUCUCAUCCUACCAUUCAUCAAUUCAAUUAUUAUAAUGAUUUUUUUCAUGAAUAAAUGAACAGAAACAGAUAAGUAGCAAUUUUUAGUGAAAGAUAACCUUGAAAAUGGAAGUUUCUGAAUCUAGGCUUUGGACAAAAACUGUAUCACCAUGAUCUCUUCUCUCUUUUGAACUUAAAGGUCUAAAUCAUGCAUAGACUGUUAUGUGCGACAUAUUUUUAUGGUGCCAAAAACCUUUAUCUUCCAAGAAUUAGUGCAUAACUAUCAUGAAAUUCAGCAAAAUAGAGUAUGACUUAAUCCACCUGAAAAUUCUAGAACUAGAGCUUUGUUUUGUCAUUGAGGCAUUUUCUAAUUCAUUACUGAAAAUUUUACAUUAUUAUUUAUUAGCACAGUAUCAACUAUCACACAAACUUGUAUUUGUCACUUAGAAGGUUUGAAACCUCUAAUUGGUGAUACACUCCUUGUUGCAGGGACACUUUUCUUUGCCAUGAGCAAUGUUGGUGAGGUGGGUAAAUAUCAAUACACUUGAAUAUGAUUGUCACAUCAUUUGGGGGCUUUUGACUCUGGAAGAUUUCUGAUUAAUGUCAUUAAAUUUUUUCUUUUUCUUUUGAAACAAUAUGCCCCUUGAAGACUUGCUUUGAAUCAAUAAGAUUUUAACUUGUUUAGCAUUGUCUAUUGUUGUCUUAUUAUAUUAGAGAGAAGAAAAAAUUACACCUUGAUUCCCUUAUUCUCCUUUUCAGUUCUAUCUAGUCAACAACCUAAACAAUUUAUCAUCUUUGAAAACUUGAAGAUCUUCUACUUCUAGCUUUAUCUUGCAGAAGGACAAUGAUUCCUGAUCUAUCUGAAUGAGGUUUAACACCAAGAACCAAAUUAGGCCUUGGACAACUCAGAUGGAAAUUAAAUCUUGUCUGCAUCACUGCUCCAUCUCCAAAUUGACUUGAGCUUUUCUUAUUUACUGACAUUCUAUUUUUGUACAGAUUUAUAUACACUGGAUCUGUAGAAAUUAUAUUGGAUAUUGCACAAGAUCUCCUCAUAGCUACUGAUCAGUAUCUGUUGCAGGGAUAAAGCGUCCCUGUGAGUGUACCAUUGCCCAUGUGAGUUAAGGAGCUCGAUUUUUUGGAUAUGAAUUCCUUUACUGCUUUGAAUCAGAUUGUGGACACCUGGUGACUCUUUUAUUUUUAUUUUCAAGGAUAUAUCACUGGAAAAUGUUUCAAGAAUGCAUGAGCUUUCAGAAGCCUUCCAUGCUAUUUCCUUAAGACACACAUGCCUCAUGUCUAUCUUGGAGCAGUUUAGUAAACUGAGUUCUAGGGCAGGGUAUGUGAUGCUCUCUCUCUCUCUAUAUAUCUAUGUAUAACUGCCAUUUCUACUAAUAGCUUACUAAGGAAGAAGUUGGAAAUACUUUUGGAGUUGUGGGAAGUCUCAAUGGAGGCAAUUGCCUGGAAGCCUAAAUAUUUGUCUUACAAAAAUCUUUAGCUAGCUUUUGAUAUAUGAAUUAAUAUAAUUCAAUACAAAUGAUUCACAUGUGUACUAUUGCCCACUCUAAAUGAAUACCCAACUAACCGAAGCAAAAGGAGGAUAGCGCAAUGCAAGAAAAAAAACUAUUUUUAAGUUCAUUGGUCAUUUUAGCUCAACAUUGGUCUAUCACUGGUAGAAACAUGCCUCCGAAAAUCAUGAUUUUCCAUUUUUAAAAAAAGCCUAACCCACAUAAUUCGAGGCUAUAAUACAACUGACAUUUGAUUCUUGAUCUCUAGCUAAAUAUAUUGUACAAAAAGUGGUAGAAAAUAAGGCUGCAGGUUGCUUUCAGAAAAUUGGCUGUAGGUUAUACAUGCUUCAUCAUGUACUAGAAAAUAAGGCACUAGUAACAUAUUGAUACACUCUUCUCAAUUUCUUUUUGUUUUUUUAAAAUAGAUAUUUCUAUUUUUAUUUUUGUUGCUAUCAUGAAAUGUAGGUUAUUUACUUUUUAACUUUGGGUAUAAAUAUACAAAAGGAAAUCUAUAAGUUGUACCUAAUCUUACAGAACUGUAAUUUAACUAAUACAUCAUUAUUGGGAUUGUCUUAAUUUUCUGUUUUUUUUCCUUUCUCUGUUUGAGAACAAGGCUAAAGGUCAUUCUGUCCAUGAUCUUGCUGAGAUAGUUGCCCACCUAUCUUCAUACUUGAAGCAUGCUUGACCUAAGUCACAUGGAAAAAAAUCAGGACAAUAAACCUGGAUUCUAACACUUCCUCAGUCCAAUAAAAAAUGAGAGCUUCUCUAAUUGGCUCUAUCAUGUUACUCUGCAUGCCAAUAAAGUUUCUGCUUUCCCUUUUGAUUAGUUACAGAAAAUAAUAAAGUUUCUGCUUUCCCUUUUGAUUAGUUACAGAAAAUAAUAAAGUUUCUGCUUUCCCUUUUGAUUAGUUACAGCUAAACACGUACCACAACUACCAUGGAUUUAGAAAACCAUUAGGAUUGGAGAGGUGGCAGAGCUGCCUCCUUCAAUAUUAUUCCCAGCAGCACUGGUGCUGCAAAGGUAUUAAAAGGACCUGUAUCCAUGGAUUCAAAACCAAUCUUUUGGGUUGUCAUGAGCCACAUUCAGUUGAUGCACUACAGCCGAAUCUAUGAUUCUGUCUUCUCUAGUUGAUUUUCUUUGCUGGGAAAGGCAAAGGAAUUAUUCUGCAAAUACCACAUUCUAAUAGAAUGGAUGUAGAGCAUAUGGAAGGGUGGGAUUUAAUUAUAUUGUUGAUCAAAAUAUAAAUGUCUUUCUUCUUAUAAAGAUUAAUAUUUUUUUCCAACAACCAAGGGUGUUUGAUUUUUCUUUUUUCCUUAAUUCAUAUCAAUUCCAGUUGAAAGGCACGAUGAGUACAGAAGAAACUCAAAUUUUAUAAAGGAAUUCAUUUUCCUUGGUGGAUGUUUUCCUUCAUUCAUUAGAGUAACAAUGGCCAUACUGUUGCAUCAAGACACUGGUAAAAGCUAAUACAAUGGUUUGGAAUUAAUCAUUUUUCUUCCACUUUCUGAAAAAAUUAAUCUAAGAGAGUUGUGUAAAUGCAGUGUGGAGCAUCUGGAAAACAUAAGAAUACAUUAUCACCAGACACUCAAACGUUGGAGGAAAAAUUUCUUGGACAAUGAGAGGUAAGAAGCAUAAACUCUGCACCAAAAGAUGUAUUAUGUGCAGCAACUAGUUGAAUCAAGAAGUCUUCCUCUUCCAGUAAACAGGUUUUUUUGGAUAUAUAUUUCCAAACUGAAAUAUUUGAUUAAAAGGAUUUUGAGCACAUGCCCUUGGAAGAAGACAAAUCAAAACCUAGCAUCAGACAUUAUUUUCAAGUUAUUUCAUAUUUAUAGCUUGUUGGGUAUUAUAAAUGAAAAUGGUUUUGCCAGAAACAUUUUUGUUUCCAAAAAGGGAAAUGUUGGAGCAGUUGAAACUAAUUCUGGGGGCAACUUUUGUGUGUUGCGCAGAAAAAUUAUAGAGCUUGGAGUUUACUUUAUAUAUAAAUUUUAUGUUUUUCAGUUUUUGCAUGUCAGAUAAGAAUUGAUCUGAUUUAAUUAUUUUUUAGGAGGGUUGUUUCCAUUCUAUGAGCUUCCUAUGUACAUUUCAUAUAUCCUUAAUAUGGCGGGGUGUGAUUAUUUUAUUGAUCAAAGAGAGACAGUAGGUAUGCACAUAUUAAGGUAUACGUAAACUUUAUCAAGUUGAUGCUGUUGAUUUUCUCUACUUCUUUCCAGAAACUAAUACCAAAUUAUAGCUUGAUCCUUAUCUACAAACUAGUAGAUCAAGGCUGGACCUUACUGUGUCUAGACUGAAAGUUUUCAGACACACUUUUAUUAUAGAUCAAGCUAAUGUUGUUUCAACUCUCACUUCUCACAGCUUGUCUUUGUUCCUCACACUCUUUGAAGAUUCUAUUUAAAUGUCACAUGGAAUUUGUGAAACUUGGCAUUUAAAAGUGUGGUAAAUAAUCCCAUUCUUCAUGAUGUAGGCAUUGAAUUAAAAUCAUUUCAUGCAUUGGAACAAGUGUUUUAGAAAAACUGAGAUACAAGGUUGGAAUUAUUUUUCAUUUCUUUAAUACAUUGAGAAAAUUGAGUAUGAUAUCAAGGUUGGAAUUAUUGAGUAUGAAAGCAUUUAAUCAUUUCAAUUUUUCUUUACUAGAACCUCUUUUGAUUGAUCUCGGUCCCUUUGAUGGUGUCUUGCAAGAGAAUGGUAUCAUCUAUUGUCCUCAAGUAUUGUUAUUAGAUUAUUCCAUAUCAUCUAAUCGAAAACUAUGAAAAUUCUUACAAUAGAUGACUGAGAAAAUCACAUUGUCUAGUUAGAUGAGCAUUUAGAUAUUUAUUACAUAGGUUACACAUGUGAGGCUUAUUAUAAUUAAAUAUAAGAUCUAUGGUUUUUUACUUGUUCUGACUGAUUCCACUUUCUUGGAUGGUGCUUUGUAGGAGAAUGGUUUUUAUGCUGAGUUUGGUCUUGAUGUUUCUUAAGAUGCAAUAAUUGAUUUUGCUUCCUAAAGGGCAGAGAUUGAAAUUGUUUAUGGUGUUUCUGUGGAGAAGAGCUUGAUUGGCCACUGUGCACCUUUGUUGUCGAUGCUUUGUAGAAAUUUUGGUUUGAUGCAAGAGGUGUAGCUCUCCCUCUUCACUUCUCAUAGCUAUGUCUAAGUUCCUCACAUUAUUUGAAGAUUUUGUUUAAACUCCACAUGGAAUUUACAAACCUUGACAUUUGAAUGUGUGGUAAGUAAUCUCAUCCUUCAUGAUGGAGGUAUUGAGCUAAAACCUUUUAGCCUGACAUUGGCAUUGGUUUUGGAAGUUUAGACUAGAUUUUUUCUUAAAAUUCAACAAAAUUCAUUUAUAAGGUGAAAAUAGUUUUUUUUCCCACUAUUUUUGAAAUUUAAAUUUCCUUUGAAUUUUAAUAUUUUAUUAUGCUUUUGGGAACAUAUGUUAUUUUGUGAAUUGGAGUGUUGGAUAUUUUUAUAUGCAUAUAUGCUAUUCUUUUGUAUAUGUUAGAUGAAGGGAAUAUAUUUCAUAUUAACGUACCAUUCACUAAAAAUCACUGGUGUUGUCAUUAUGGUAUUUUACAUUAUUACUAUGGAUGCGAUUGUAAUUUACCCUAGACCUAUAUCGUGCCGUAGAAAUGGAGGGGUGCACUGUAGCCAAUUAACCUAGUAAUCUUUUAUGCCAAGAGAUAAAGGGGCACUAGAGCAGUUUGUAUGAGAAGUGUGUCGAGAGAUGUAGGGAUAUUGUGUCUAUAAGGCACCAUGAUAUUUGAGACAUAUGUCGCCUGCGGUUGCAUAUGUGAUACAUGCUGAUGAAGGAAAGGGCAUUGUAGCAGUUAUAUUGCAUAUGUGUCGAGAGUUGGAGUGACAUUGUAGCCAUGGAUUAUGCAUGUGUUUGAUUGAUUAUACAUCGGGUAGUCCAAUGUUGCAUGUCUACUUGAUUGUUAUACCAUAUAUUAUCUACGUUGAGUGUUACCUACAUGAUAAAACUCCUCUUUCUACUUUGGACUGACCACACUACAACCUGUAUUAUAUGAUCAUUCACUGAGUUAUUCACUUUGUAGUUCCCUAAAUUUUUUAGAUGAGGACCUAGUAGAACCAAAUACCAAGCAAGGUAUGGAGGAUAGUCAACAAGGCAUAUAAAUGUUGUUGUCGUUUCCUUUUGCUUCUUUUUGGAUAGACUACUGGCAUGUAGCCAUUUUCUUAGGUAUGUACAAGUUUUCGAUCCCUUAAGACCAGCUUUUAUGUAUGCAAAACUGUUUAUCUCGGACAUAGUAAUGAAUUUAUAGUUCCUUUAAUAUGCAUCCUUGUAUUGCUUUGACAUAGUAUAUCUUGUCACAAGUUAAUUUUCUUUCAUAGGAUAGUAUCUACAUCUCAGUCUUCAGACUAGGGAAGAGACGUUGUCUUGCGUGGAUGGCGCUUGCAAGGGUGGGUCGUCACAUUUUUUGUACAUAUUAACCAUAUUUUGUGGUUUUAAUCUGUUUUUCUUCUUACUCAAACUUGUAUGAGUAUCAUUUAAUAUCUUUGAUGCAGUGUUUUUCUAUGUUGAAGAGCAAGAUGCAUUUGAUGUGUAUUCCAUAAUCAAUGGCUUCUCUAGUCUUACCCUUUCUUGUAAAAUGUAAAGUAGAUGUUGUAUAGUCUUAGGUCCAAUCUCAGUGUUCUUCCAAAUCUGAAUUCUCUUUUUUGAGUUUCUAAUGAUCAUGUUGAUGAUGUACUAAUUCUUGAUCAGGUGGCCUUGCAUCGAAAUGCUUUUAAAAUCUAUACUUUUUUUUUCCCAACAACAACCCCAAGGUACUCUUCCAUUUUAUGUGCAUGUGUGUCAUAUUGGGAAGUUGCUACUAAUUUAUGAAAGUGUUCUUGUAAUGGAUUUAGGCAGUACUAGUUGUAAGAAGAAACAACCUAUACACUCUUGGAAUUGGAAACAACAGAGGGGUUAACUCCAUGAGACCAUAUGCAAAUUACUUAUUUUUUGUUGUAAAUCAAGUUGGGUGAGUAGUUGGAUUUGUUUUAAUUUUAUUUUGCAUGUUUAUCUUUGUAGGUUUAAUUUACAUCUCUUGUACACUAUGGUUAAGAACACAAUACUGUUAAAAGAUUGAAAGACAAAAGAUGCUCUCUGUGAUUUAAUGGGGACAUGUGCUACCAAAUACCACUAUAUGGUGCAAUCAUGUGUUGUUGGUAGUUUGGUUGGUUCUCCUAUCAUAGAGGUUGGAAGGACAAACCGAAAAGACUAUGUGAAGGACAAAGUUGGGGCUAUAAAUAUCAGACGUUGCUUUCUUGUGGAGCUCGUUGAUAGAUUUGCAAAGUUGAUUUUAGCCAACACAGGUUGUCCUGUAUUUUCUUAGGACUAGUCCACUUAUGAAGCCGUGGAGAAUGUGUUUGUUACCAUAUAUAUCAAGAAAAGUUUGUUUUCUUUAAUUAUCCUACAAAUUCAUGGCAUCUAAACAAGUGGGGUAAAUCUUUUGGUUCAUGAUUUAUAUUCAGUUUUCUUAUCAAUGGUGUUUUUUCCCAUCAACAAUUGAUAAAACCCUCAAAUAUUCUCAACCAUGAGAAAUGGGAAGAAAAGCAAAAAUAAAAAAUUAAAAUUAAUAAUCAAUUGAACAUUUGAGUAAUCCAUUGUUUUUUUUAUAUUAUUUUUUAAUAAUUUUUAUUUGAUACCUGGUGAACAAACUCUCUCUUGUGCAUCAAAUUCAACUAUUCUGUGUAUUUGAGUUAAGUUUUCACUUUCCAAGUUAGAUUCAAAUAUCUAUUUUAUUCUCAUUAGUCAUUUUUCUAAGUAAAGAUAUUGACAUUAGUUAUUUUGCAUAUUUUAACCAUUUUUUUUUUUUUAGGAUUUUAAUAUUUUUUUCUUUUUAUGCAAAUAGAUGUAUUAUUUGAUCUCUCUUGGAAAGAGUUUUUCUGUCUCGAAGAGUAAGACGUGUUUGAUCAUGUAUGUUCAUUAAUCAAAGGUUUCUCUAGUCUCACAUUAUCUUGUAAAUUAAAUCUUGGGGAGAGUCCUAGGCCCAAUCUGAGCGUUCUUCCAAAGGUGGAUUCUCCAUCUCGAGUUACUUACGAUUUGUUGAUAAUGUACUGAUCCUUGAUUGGGUAGCCUCACAUUGGAUUGCUUUUAAAACCUAUACUUUUUUGCUUCUCAAUAUUGUCCUCAUUCUGGGGUCUAAUAUUGGUUUCAACAACUCCAAGGUUGCUUGAACUGCAUGCUUGGAUCGGAUGCAUUACUCUUACAAGUUUUCUAAAGAGCGAAAGAAAAACCUAUUGUCUAAUAAUGAGACCCUGAUAUUUGGCAUUCUGAAAAGCUUAAUCACCCGUUUUUGGCUGUUAGAUAACUUAUGGUAUGCGGUUACUGAUAAUGUUAUUGAUUUUAUUUAUGCAAUUCAUCCAACUAUUGAAACCUUAGUUGUUGACUUGAAGAAAAUGUCUCUUAGUUGCAAAAUUACAUUGAAAGUGGUAUCAUGCGUCCUUUCAACUAUUCUUGUAACAAAACUUAGUAGAUAUUUAUUCAUUAUGUUCCAUGUUGCUAUUAACCAAUUGACGCAUAUGGUGUCAUGUAUCCAAAUAGAAAUCUUAAUUGACAGUUUUGGCUGCCAGGAAACAUGAUGGUAUGCUGCUGCUGAUAAUGUUAUUGUUGCUAUCUAUGCUACUCAUCCAACUCCUAUGGAGAAAUAUGGAAGUUGUGGUUGAAAAGGUUUGCAAUAGGUUUGGUGGAGUCACAUGUAUUGUUUAUACUAUUGUUUUAAUUAUAUUUUCAUCUAUCAUGUGCUAAUAUGACAACUUAUUACCAUGUCAGGUUUUAAUGCAUGACUUCAUUAUAAGAUAUAAUGUCAUGGCACCUACGCUUGGACUAGUCUCUUAUUUACCCAUAUUGGAGACAUACUUCAUUAAUAACCUAGCAAGGUAUUAAGUUGUUCUUGCAUUACCUCAUUUACAGUUUAUUUUUUUAUUAAUUGGUGUAUUUUUUUCACACUAAUGAAAACCAGAGUAAAAUUUUGAAACAAAUAAACAAAAUACUCUUAGUCAUGACUCUUUUUCUCUCUAAUUUUGAAACGAUCUUAAAAAACAAAAUUUAAAAAUUACCAUGUGUCCCAGUUUAAAAAAACAUAUCUAAAUAGGCCUUGAAAAUAAAUAAACUAGGACAAAUGAAAUUAAUUAUUGGGACAUGAAAAUAUUAUAUAAAUUCUGGUUAAAUGAAGCCGAUGAUCUGAUAUAGAUAUACCAUUCUCAUUCUUUAGUCCUGAGACUUUCCUUUCUUUCACCUCUUUUCUUCUCCUCUUCUCUUUUAUGUACCUUAUUGUCGUCACGAUCUCACCUUCUCGUUCCAAACAAAAACAAAUUUUUUCCCUUGGUAGCAUAGAAAGUGAAAGAAACUGGAGGUAGGAAGACGAGGCUUUUGUGUCUCAUCUAUGGUGGCGUCUCCCAGAAGUGGAAUCUAGGGCGCAGCAGAAAGAAGGGGAAGUGAAAGGCGGAGGACUUUUGAGUUUUAUUGGCCGAGAGGCUAGGGCACGAUGUGAUUUGGUUCGAUCUUGGUGUGGAAGCUCGGGGAAUCAGCUUAGUGCGUAGUGGUUUUGUGGUUGUGGGAUUUUGGAAACCUUAGAUUUGGGUUAGGGUUGUGUGGUUGGCUGAUUAAGCUAGGGGCGGGGCUGCCCAUGCGAUUGACUGGGUUUUCAUGCCGUCAAAACCACUUCCUUGGGAUCAGGACUUCUUCAAGGAGAGGAGAGGAAGCACGAGAGGUCGGAGUCUUUAAGUUUGUUGCAAGAUAGAGGACUCGCAUCAGGGUUCUUGGAAGUUUGCUCGUCGGAAUAGGCAGACUUGCGCCGUCCUACAGGUAAGUUGAAUCCCACCGGUUUCUUGAUGAUGUCGGUUUUGCUUUAAACCAAGAAAAAUAGUCGGGUUCUUGGAAAAUUUGGUCUCCGAGCCCUUUUGUUUUUUAUGAUUUGUUCCUUUUUGGUUUUUAAUUUUGAAUUUAUUCUCUCCACGGAAGAAGCACGAGAGGUCGGAGUCUUUAGGUUUGCUGCAAGAUAAAGAAACUCGCAUCAGGUUCUUGGGAGUUUGCUCGCCGGGAUCGGUAGACUUUCGGUCCCCUAUAGGUGAGUUAUGAACUCAGGUUCUUGAUGAUUGUGAUGAAAUUCGUAGGUUUUGGUUUAAACCAAGAAUAAUAAUAGGGUUCUUAGAAAAUUUAGUCCGAGUCCUUUUGUUUUAUUUAUUUUUAUUUUUUAUGAUUUGUUCUUUUUUGGUUUUUAAUUUUUAAUUUAUUCUUUCCACGGGUCUGAUUUUUUAUUUUGGGGAAUUAGUUUUUGAUGAUGAUUCUUUCAUGGUUAUUGUAGAUUUGUGUUUUUUAGUCCAUUCGUUUGUUAAUGUGCUGUUUAGUUGUGCAGAAAUUGUAAUUAAAAAAACAGAUUGUUUUUUAUCUUUUUAAGUCAAAUAAAACUACCUGUAAGAAAGUUCUAGGUUUUGAAUUUUUGAAGUUUCAUCGUGUUCUUUGGUAUUUUGAUUUUUACCAUGAACUUUUCUUACCUAUCAAAAAAAAAAAAAAAAGCUGGGCUAGAAAUUCAUAGACAUCAACUUGCUCAAAUCCAUGAUAGAAAACCCUAUCAAAGCUAAAGGUGAAAAUCCUCUCCCUUCUCAUCCUACCAUUCAUCAAUUCAAUUAUUAUAAUGAUUUUUUUCAUGAAUAAAUGAACAGAAACAAAUAAGUAGCAAUUUUUAGUGAAAGAUAACCUUGAAAAUGGAAGUUUCUGAAUCUAGGCUUUGGACAAAAAAUGUAUCACCAUGAUCUUUUCUCUCUUUUGAACUUAAAGGUCUAAAACAUGCAUAGACUGUUAUGUGCGACAUAAUUUUAUGGUGCCAAAAACCUUUAUCUUCCAAGAAUUAGUGCAUAACUAUCAUGAAAUUCAGCAAAAUAGAGUAUGACUUAAUCCACCUGAAAAUUCUAGAACUAGAGCUUUGUUUUGUCAUUGAGGCAUUUUCUAAUUCAUUACUGAAAAUUUUACAUUAUUAUUUAUUAGCACAGUAGCAACUAUCACACAAACUUGUAUUUGUCACUUAGAAGGUUUGAAACCUCUAAUUGGUGAUACACUCCUUGUUGCAGGGACACUUUUCUUUGCCAUGAGCAAUGUUGGUGAGGUGGGUAAAUAUCAAUACACUUGAAUAUGAUUGUCACAUCAUUUGGGGGCUUUUGACUCUGGAAGAUUUCUGAUUAAUGUCAUUAAAUUUUUUCUUUUUCUUUUGAAACAAUAUGCCCCUCGAAGACUUGCUUUGAAUAAAUAAGAUUUUAACUUGUUUAGCAUUGUCUAUUGUUGUCUUAUUGCAUUAGAGAGAAGAAAAAAUUACACCUUGAUUCCUUUAUUCUCCUUUACAAUUCUAUCUAGUUAACAUCCUAAACAAUUUAUCAUCUUUGAAAACUUGAAGACCUUCUACUUCUAGCUUUAUCUUGCAGAAGGACAAUGAUUCCUGAUCUAUCUGAAUGAGGUUUAACACCAAGAACCAGAUUAGGCCUUGGACAACUCAGAUGGAAAUUAAAUCUUGUCUGCAUCACUGCUCCAUCUCCAAAUUGACUUGAGCUUUUCUUAUUUACUGACAUUCUAUUUUUGUACAGAUUUAUAUACACUGGAUCUGUAGAAAUUAUAUUGGAUAUUGCACAAGAUCUCCUCAUAGCUACUGAUCAGUAUCUGUUGCAGGGAUAAAGCGUCCCUGUGAGUGUACCAUUGCCCAU